CCUACGGGAGGCAGCAGUGAGGAAUAUUGGUCAAUGGGCUUACGCCUGAACCAGCCAAGUCGCGUGAGGGAAGACUGCCCUAUGGGUUGUAAACCUCUUUUGUCAGGGAGCAACGCCGGCUACGUGUAGCCGGACUGAGAGUACCUGAAGAAAAAGCAUCGGCUAACUCCGUGCCAGCAGCCGCGGUAAUACGGAGGAUGCGAGCGUUAUCCGGAUUUAUUGGGUUUAAAGGGUGCGUAGGCGGAAUGCCAAGUCAGCGGUAAAAUCGCGGGGCUCAACCUCGCUCCGCCGUUGAAACUGGCGGUCUUGAGUGGGCGAGAAGUAUGCGGAAUGCGUGGUGUAGCGGUGAAAUGCAUAGAUAGCACGCAGAACGCCGAUUGCGAAGGCAGCAUACCGGCGCCCAACUGACGCUGAAGUACGAAAGCGUGGGUAUCGAACAGGAUUAGAUACCCUUGUAGUC
rnacentral:rRNA from 1 species